rnacentral:rRNA from 1 species
GACGAACGCUGGCGGCGUGCUUAACACAUGCAAGUCGAACGGAAAGGCCCUGCUUUUGUGGGGUGCUCGAGUGGCGAACGGGUGAGUAACACGUGAGUAACCUGCCCUUGACUUUGGGAUAACUUCAGGAAACUGGGGCUAAUACCGGAUAGGAGCUCCUGCUGCAUGGUGGGGGUUGGAAAGUUUCGGCGGUUGGGGAUGGACUCGCGGCUUAUCAGCUUGUUGGUGGGGUAGUGGCUUACCAAGGCUUUGACGGGUAGCCGGCCUGCGAGGGUGACCGGCCACAUUGGAACUGAGAUACGGCCCAGACUCCUACGGGAGGCAGCAGUGGGGAAUAUUGCACAAUGGGCGGAAGCCUGAUGCAGCAACUCCGCGUGCGGGAUGACGGCCUUCGGGUUGUAAACCGCUUUCGCCUGUGACGAAGCGUGAGUGACGGUAAUGGGUAAAGAAGCACCGGCUAACUACGUG